rnacentral:lncRNA from 1 species
AUGGCCAAGUGGGUUUUUCCUUUGUUGCAAAUGGGGAAUGUUUUUCCUUUGACUCUACCAUCCAGUUCAGGACGUCUCAGUGUGUUUAACAUUUGUCAACAGGCCCAAGGACUCACAGUUGGAAGACUGGAGAAGACUUUUUAAAAAGAUCUGGAUUUUUCCUUAUGACUUGGAAUCCAUCUUUGUCUUGUAUAACUAGGUCAUAGCACACCAUUCAUGUCAGCAGUUAACAGUUUUGAAUUCCAAAAAAACCUAAAGCAGUAAACAGUCCUCAGCGAAGCCGCCUUUUUGCCUACCCAACCCUGGAAAGUUUGCAGAAGUGGAAGGAGCAGAACGUGAGGGUGUAACUUACAAAAAGGUUCUGGGCCGGAGAAGGGGCGACGUUCGGGCACCCCCCGAAUGGACAAUCUUUCCUUCUGUCAACGGCAGGGGCAGGCCUAGUUUGACUCUGACAGUCCUCCCACUAAGGUAGGUGUGAGUACUUGCCCAGACCGUGAGGGAGAUUUGGGGGGCUCUGGCCUGCAGCCCAGGGAGGGCCGAACCCCAAACACGCCGGGCU